rnacentral:rRNA from 1 species
AACGAACGCUGGCGGCAUGCCUAACACAUGCAAGUCGAACGAGACCUUCGGGUCUAGUGGCGCACGGGUGCGUAACGCGUGGGAACCUGCCCUUAGGUUCGGAAUAACUCCCCGAAAGGGGUGCUAAUACCGGAUAAUGUCUUCGGACCAAAGAUUUAUCGCCUUUGGAUGGGCCCGCGUUGGAUUAGCUAGUUGGUAGGGUAAAAGCCUACCAAGGCGACGAUCCAUAGCUGGUCUGAGAGGAUGAUCAGCCACACUGGGACUGAGACACGGCCCAGACUCCUACGGGAGGCAGCAGUGGGGAAUAUUGUACAAUGGGCGAAAGCCUGAUCCAGCAAUGCCGCGUGAGUGAUGAGGGCCUUAGGGUUGUAAAGCUCUUUUACCCGGGAUGAUAAUGACAGUACCGGGAGAAUAAGCUCCGGCUAACUCCGUG